CCUACGGGAGGCAGCAGUAGGGAAUCUUCCACAAUGGGCGAAAGCCUGAUGGAGCAACGCCGCGUGGGUGAAGAAGGUCUUCGGAUCGUAAAACCCUGUUGUUAGAGAAGAAAGUGCGUGAGAGUAACUGUUCACGUUUCGACGGUAUCUAACCAGAAAGCCACGGCUAACUACGUGCCAGCAGCCGCGGUAAUACGUAGGUGGCAAGCGUUAUCCGGAUUGAUUGGGCGUAAAGGGAACGCAGGCGGUCUUUUAAGUCUGAUGUGAAAGCCUUCGGCUUAACCGGAGUAGUGCAUUGGAAACUGGGAGACUUGAGUGCAGAAGAGGAGAGUGGAACUCCAUGUGUAGCGGUGAAAUGCGUAGAUAUAUCGAAGAACACCAGUGGCGAAAGCGGCUCUCUGGUCUGUAACUGACGCUGAGGUUCGAAAGCGUGGGUAGCAAACAGGAUUAGAUACCCCAGUAGUC
rnacentral:rRNA from 1 species